UUGACCGGCCGUUCGCGGAUCAUCGGCACUGCCAAGAUCGGCAUCUGCAGCCGGCACAUGUAGCUGGUCCAGCAGGCGGUGAAGGUCAUCACGCAGAUCAGAAUACGCAUCGGGAUCCAUCCUGUGUGUCGAGAGCCGAAGGAUGACGAGGAACGAAGCCGCCCCGAGAGGUGUGUCGCGCCGUGGAACAGCCGCGGAUUACCGAAAAUCGAGCGAUUGGCAGUCAGCAACCGACAGCGACCGACUGCGCGAGGUGCAACCUCGAGUAAACGCGCAGCUAAUCGGAACUCGGUAACGCGGCGGCGAAAACAGGCCGAAAAAGAAAAGGACACCCUGCUGCAAACCCGAGUUCUGUUAUUUUGACACGUCGUUUAACGCGUUCAAACGCGUUAAGUGAAUAUCGAAAUGCAUCAAGUGACGUGAUUUCAGACGACAA